GACAAUAAAGAGCAUUGACCAAAAAUGAAAAACGAAAUUUCAGGAAAUGGUAUCAAAGUGAACAACAGAUGACAGUACUUUGCUAUGCCUGACCCAAGCUGAAAACUGCCACUCUCUCCAUGUUAAUAAAUGUACUGGAUAUUCAAAAAAAUAUCAAAAACACACUUUUCAUGUGUUGCCUCAAUGUCAGACGUGUCCUCCAGAUGUUGUUAGAUUCCAGCGCACAUCAUCCCUGACUCACAUCAUUCCAUGCUGGCCAUUAUAUGUGUAAUAAUAUGUAUAAAAUUAUACAUGUAUAAAAUUCAAUGUAUAAUAAUUCUAAUAAUACUGUACAAAAUA